UUUGAUAAUUGUUGCUCAACAGAAAUGACGUAUUUUCGCCAGAAAAAGUGUCGCUCGACACUUUCUUUUCAUGUUGCACACCUGAAGAAUUUUGUUAUGUCACGGACACCAUCAUAUCAUUUGUCACGCAAUGUGAUUUGGUAGUGUUACUAAUGUCGCCACGGAGACUGUAGUUUUCACUGAACUGAUUGAAAUUUUGGUCUGUAACUUUAGAUAACUUGAAACGUCCUUAUGUAAUUAAUCCUGAUGAGGAUGAUAUAAUGUAAAUAAACAAGCUAGCUGGAUACAUGCAGACAAGUGAAACCUUUUGCUGAAGCAUAAAUUGAGAAUGUUGCGCAACUCUUUAAUCUUUGUUGAGCGACACUUAUCAAAAGUGUUGAGCGACCUACCAUAAAUCAGCCUUAACCCUGUAGCAAGACUGUGAGAGAAAGGGAGAGGAAGAGGGGUGUAGUAUAAAGUCCCUCCAAAACACAGCAUGCAUUAAGCUGCCUUACACUGCAGUUUGUUCAAAACCAACAGCAACCACCCCAAAACAAAUCGAUUACUUUCCCUCAUAGAGAAGGUGUGGGGUGUGGAGAGGAGAUGACAAACAACCUUUGCAAGCGUAAUGGUAAAAGCUUAUGCAGCUGCCAAUGUCAUCUUGCCACUGUGUGAUUAUUCAAAGGGGAUGGUGAUAAGCAGCAUGUUAGCACCAGAGAGCUGAGGAAAAGAGACAAUGGAGGUAAUGUGAGAGACAGCGACCGGAUUACAAAAAAGGAAACACUGUAACAAGCUCAAAGCUUUGCACUGACUAAUCCAAAUCCAACCAUUAUGUUUUCAUUGCCUUUUAAAUCUGUUUUUUUUUUUUACCCAGGUGAAGCAGAGCCUUUUCUUUCUCAUUUUUUUCAGGGAUCACGAUGGUCUCACACAAACAUAUGAAUAUACAAAUGCACAUAAAUAAAUACAUGUCAACACAAACCCACUCGCUUAUGCUGUGUUGUUUUUUGGCAGUGGUCAUGCUUUGCCUGAGGUUUGAUCUGUUGCUUUGGUGUGUGGGUGGGUAGGUAACUUGGGGGCAAACUGUUGUUCUUUAGCCAGAAACCCAAUGCCCUGAAUAGCUGGAGGUUCAAGUGUGGUGUUAACUUGAACUACUGACAUUCUGACUGAGAUGAUGCGAUAUGGACGAUGGAAUGAGAUGGAAUCUAUUCUGUCAAAAAUGUCUUCAUAUUAGAUAAGGCUUUAUCUCUCUGGUCCUGUUGUUGGGGCUCCAGCUUUCUCAUUUGGCAUUGCCAUAUGACAUAUACAGAAUAAAGGAAAUAGAUAACCUAGGAAUACAGUAAACCCCACGUUCCAUCUUCCAGAUUAACUCCGGUCCUUGCCAGCCACUUAUUAGAAAAACAUCAAGUUUCGAUUGACUGUUUCUUAACUGUUUUGCUUAGAGUUCCUUCUGAACUCUGUCCCUCACCAUUGCAUAUAACUCUAAAAUUCAGUACUGCCCGUCAUUACAUCUUCCUCAGUAACAAUGACAAAAUCCCAGCCUCUGUCACUGCCUACAUUGAAUCUCAUUUGUUGUUGAUUUUGGAGAUCUCAAAGCAAAUCUUAUAGCCAUCUGAGUGCUAUAGUACACUCCCAGCUACCAGGCAGACACCUCUGAACCCAUAUGUUCUCAGAGCCUUGUUAACGUCCAUUUAACCUGACCCCUGACACCACUGGCCUCAGCGAAUGUCACCAUAUCUCACUAAUGAUGUCUUGGGGACUCUGCACUUGUCAGACCACAUCAGUCCUCUCCUCAGCCAUUUGGACUUGGACUCAGGAAGAGCUAGAGAGUAGUCCUUGAGCUCUACUUGGCAGGGCCACCUUGAUACAGAUGGCCCAAGUCUGUUCUCACUUCAUAAUUGCCCCCUUUUUAGCACUUGUCAGUUAACUCUUAAGAUGCUUUUAAAUAGCAACAACUACCACUGCUGCCUCCGGUGCUUGCAAUGCAAACAUGGCAGCAGCCUGUUAAUGAGUCAGGAGGCAGAAGCGUUGAAAGAGCGGGUGGCUACAUUGCUCGUGUAUGCACAUAGCCUUUUACUGCUGCUGUCUGAGUUGACUGUAAAAAAAAAAAAAAAGUAGUAAUUCAACUUUUCUAGCUCGCUGAUCAGUUUGGCUUUGACAACAAUGGGGAAAAUCUUAAGGUGAAGAAGAGGCUUGAUUGUGUGAUGAUUUUAACUGAAAAAAACAAACAAAAAAAAAUGCAAGACCAAACUAAUGAUGUUCCAUGAUUGUCAUUGUGGUCAAACACAGUACCAAAAUCAAAUGGCAGAUUCAAAACUUUCUGGUUGAAUUUUUUUUUUACUGGAUUUACAGUUUAUGAAUGAAAAUUAUCCUGUGAAAGAUUAAUGUAUGAUUCAAUUAGUUUAACUAGACAUUAAACAGAAAACAGAAAAGUUUGCAUUUUGAGCAGCGCCCUUAAGGCAAGCUUUUUUUUUUUUCUUCAACAAUGCAUCUGCAGUACACUGUGCGGUAAUAGGUACUAAUGAGUCUGAGUGGUUGUCAUUUAGUGAAUUUGUAUUUUUUUCCCUAGUUUUGUUUUGCUUUUUACCAUUUUUCAUCGUGAAUAAUUGUAUUCGUGCAGGCUACACAAAUUCCAGCCUGUAAGGGCUUGAAGUUCACUUUCCUUGCAGGAAAAGCAACAGCUAAUUUUCGUGCAGGUGAAGAGACAGACUUCACCUCUGCCUGUGUGAUGGAAGAGCACGGUUGUGUGCGAGUGCAUUUUAGACAGGAGGGUUAUGUUAUUUGUGAUAUGAUGAAGUUCAGGAUGGGAUGUGAAAGCCAGGACUCUGUGAGGCUGAUAGCUGGUGCGGUUCUUACGGUGAGCUGCUUCAUCAACUCCGCCUUCAGCAGCAGCUCCGCGCCAACCAGAGAUUAGAGAUUCAGCUCCACGAAGACAUGAACUGUUCUGGGAGGCUUUGGAUGCAGGCAUGAAGAGGGAGUGGAGGACCUGAAGCUGCGGAGGCCAGUCAUCAUCAACCAGUUAGCAAUUUCACAUAUGCAUCAGCCCUGAUGGAGUCUCUGAGGAAGGACUACUCAACGUCACCAAAGUCUACGAGGCAGCAGCGCUGCGCUGUCCUCCACUGGUCCGGGGUCCCUUUCCAGCAGAUCAUCAAACACGACGGCCUUGAUGGCUUAACGCAGGACUUUGGUGUGAAAACCAGCACAGAUGUUGUGGUUCUUAGUUUGAAGUUUGACAUUUUUACAAGUCAGAUUAAUUCUAUAAUUACU